rnacentral:misc_RNA from 1 species
AAGUCGUAACAAGGUUUCCGUAGGUAUGUAAUCGACACCCUUCUUACUUGACUUGAAUCUUUGCUAACUUAAUUCUUAGGUGAACCUGCGGAAGGAUCAUUACCGAGUUAGGGUCCUCUGGACUCGACCUCCUACCCUUUGUCUACCUUACCUUUUGUUGCUUCGGCGGAUCCGUCCCGCAAGGGACCGCCGGAGGGUUUACCCCCUCUGGUCCGCGUCCGCCGACAGCCCACAACCAAAACUCUUGUUUAAACGUGUCGUCUAAGUACAAAAACAAAUAAGUAAAAACUUUCAACAACGGAUCUCUUGGUUCUG